CGACAGCAAUAUGAAGGUCAGGCUGAAGACCUUACCCGAUUAGCUGAGAGGUGGUGCAUGGCCGUCGUCAGUUCGUACUGUGAAGCAUCCUGUUAAGUCAGGCAACGAGCGAGACCCACGUCCACAGUUGCCAGCAUACCCUCCGGGGUGAUGGGUACACUGUGGAGACCGCCGCUGCUAAAGCGGAGGAAGGAGUGGGCAACGGUAGGUCAGUAUGCCACGAAUCUCCCGGGCUACACGCGGGCUACAAUGGUUGGUACAAUGGGCAUCUACCCCGAAAGGGGAAGGAAAUCUCUUAAAGCCAAUCGUAGUUCGGAUUGAGGGCUGCAACUCGCCCUCAUGAAGCUGGAAUCCGUAGUAAUCGCGUUUCAACAGAACGCGGUGAAUACGUCCCUGCUCCUU
rnacentral:rRNA from 1 species